rnacentral:rRNA from 1 species
GACGAACGCUGGCGGCGUGCUUAACACAUGCAAGUCGAGCGAGGUCCAUCCGGUGGCAACACCGGUGAAGACCUAGCGGCGAACGGGUGAGUAACACGUGAGCAACCUGCCCCGAAGACCGGGAUAACAGCGGGAAACCGCUGCUAAUACCGGAUGCCCUCACCGGGCCGCAUGACCUGGUGAGGAAAUGAAUUUCGCUUCGGGAGGGGCUCGCGGGCUAUCAGCUUGUUGGUGAGGUAACGGCUCACCAAGGCUACGACGGCUAGCUGGUCUGAGA